GAUGAAGAACGUAGCAAAAUGCGAUACUUGGUGUGAAUUGCAGAAUCCCGUGAACCAUCGAGUUUUUGAACGCAAGUUGCGCCCGAAGCCUUUUGGCCGAGGGCACGUCUGCCUGGGCGUCACGCAUCGCGUCGCCCCCCACAAUUCUCCGUAAAGGGAACAUGUGUUUUGGGGGCGGAUAUUGGUCUCCCGUGCUCAUGGCGUGGUUGGCCGAAAUAGGAGUCCUUUCGAUGGACGCACGAACUAGUGGUGGUCGUAAAAACCCUCGUCUUUUGUUUCGUGCUGUUGCUCGCAAGGUAAACUCUUUAAAAACCCCAAUGUGUCGUCUCUUGACGACGCUUCGACCGCGACGCCAGGUCAGGCGGGACUACCCGCUGAGUUUAAGCAUAUCAAUAAGCGGAGGA
rnacentral:misc_RNA from 1 species